CAGCCAUGCCGCGUGUAUGAAGAAGGCCUUCGGGUUGUAAAGUACUUUCAGCAGUGAGGAAGGUGGGUAUGGUUAAUAGCAUACUCAUUUGACGUUAGCUGCAGAAGAAGCACCGGCUAACUCCGUGCCAGCAGCCGCGGUAAUACGGAGGGUGCGAGCGUUAAUCGGAAUUACUGGGCGUAAAGCGCAUGCAGGUGGUUUGUUAAGUCAGAUGUGAAAGCCCGGGGCUCAACCUCGGAAUUGCAUUUGAAACUGGCAAACUAGAGUACUGUAGAGGGGGUAGAAUUUCAGGUGUAGCGGUGAAAUGCGUAGAGAUCUGAAGGAAUACCGGUGGCGAAGGCGGCCCCCUGGACCAGAUACUGACACUCAGAUGCGAAAGCGUGGGGAGCAAACAGGAUUAGAUCCCCUGGUAG
rnacentral:rRNA from 1 species